ACGAGCGAAGCGAGUUGGCUUUUCAGCCCCACUCAAGUUCUUGGCUUUUGUGAAGCUUGAAAAUACGAAUUCUGGGCCUGGUGGUGGACACCAGGCUCGGGUUUUAUUCCACGUGUAUCAUGGACUGAAGGAGAAGAGCGCUGUGGACUCGGGUGCAGAUGUAGGAAGAUGAGGGCUGACUUACCCGCAGCAUCUUUUCCUUCUCCGUCACCAGGAAAUACCCGGUGUCUGUGAACCGAGAGCUUAAAAUCCCUCCUGCGGCACCCAGCGCAUCCCUCCUGGCUCCGGCCGCUUCACCUUGUGGGAACUGUCAUCUCUUGGGGCAACGCGAGAACCGACAAAAGCAACCCAAACAGGGCUGUUGUUCGUGCAUGCCAGCUGCUGUGGCUUUCCCUCCAGAGCAUCGCAGGGAUGCAGUUUCCCUUCCCUCUGCAAAGGAAAGGAGCAGCGCGCCCGCAAAAUGCAAACUUGCAAUGGACAAACCCUGCGCUUACUUUUGUCUUCGGUGCAAGUAAGGUGAACGCCCUCCUUUUACUGAAACUAAACAGCAGCUGUGGAGUCCAACUCCCCCAGCUCUAAUGGGACCCAUCGUCUGCACGAAGAGCCACAGCGAAGCUCUCCACAAUAUGACGAUGGGCUGGAAACCACCUUGGCUGGGCUUUCCUUCUUCUCUCGGCCAGCAGCACAUCCCUGAG